AUGAACGCUGGCGGCGUGCCUAAUACCUGCAAGUCGAGCGAACAGACGAGGAGCUUGCUCCUCUGACGUUAGCGGCGGACGGGUGAGUAACACGUGGAUAACCUACCUAUAAGACUGGGAUAACUUCGGGAAACCGGAGCUAAUACCGGAUAAUAUAUUGAACCGCAUGGUUCAAUAGUGAAAGACGGUUUUGCCGUCACUUAUAGAUGGAUCCGCGCCGCAUUAGCUAGUUGGUAAGGUAACGGCUUACCAAGGCAACGAUGCGUAGCCGACCUGAGAGGGUGAUCGGCCACACUGGAACUGAGACACGGUCCAGACUCCUACGGGAGGCAGCAGUAGGGAAUCUUCCGCGAUGGGCGAAAGCCUGACGGAGCAACGCCGCGUGAGUGAUGAAGGUCUUCGGAUCGUAAAACUCUGUUAUUAGGGAAGAACAAAUGUGUAAGUAACUAUGCACGUCUUGACGGUACCUAAUCAGAAAGCCACGGCUAACUACGUG
rnacentral:rRNA from 1 species